rnacentral:rRNA from 1 species
CUCGGGGUUACAGCCUUGCUGAAUUAUUCACCCUUGUCUUUUGCGUACUUCUUGUUUCCUUGGUGGGUUCGCCCACCACUAGGACAAACAUAAACCUUUUGUAAUUGCAAUCAGCGUCAGUAACAAAUUAAUAAUUACAACUUUCAACAACGGAUCUCUUGGUUCUGGCAUCGAUGAAGAACGCAGCGAAAUGCGAUAAGUAGUGUGAAUUGCAGAAUUCAGUGAAUCAUCGAAUCUUUGAACGCACAUUGCGCCCUUUGGUAUUCCAAAGGGCAUGCCUGUUCGAGCGUCAUUUGUACCCUCAAGCUUUGCUUGGUGUUGGGCGUCUUGUCUCUAGCUUUGCUGGAGACUCGCCUUAAAGUAAUUGGCAGCCGGCCUACUGGUUUCGGAGCGCAGCACAAGUCGCACUCUCUAUCAGCCAAGGUCUAGCAUCCAUUAAGCCUUUUUUCAACUUUUGACCUCGGAUCAGGUAGGGAUACCCGCUGAACUUAAGCAUAUCAUA